rnacentral:misc_RNA from 1 species
CUCGAUUCUUGGAAAAAACAAUCAAGAAUUGACAAAAAAGAUUAGCGGAGAAAAUAAGAAAGAAUCAAUUGGUCAGAUAAAGGCAAUGACUUUUCAAAAUAUUGGGAAGUUUCUUCGAAAGUUCUUGUUGCACCUGCGAUUGUCAGUUGAAUUUUUUAACAUUUUCUUGAUUAUUUUUAAGAUAAGAGUUGUCCAGUAAUGGUAUGUCCACCAACCCAAAAUAUAAAAUUUGUAAAACAGAGAAGAAAAUACCGCAUUUGUAGCCUGUGUUCCAUAGAAUGCGG